rnacentral:rRNA from 1 species
AGAGUUUGAUCCUGGCUGAGAACGUACGCUGGCGGCACGCCUAACACAUGCAAGUCGAACGCAGUAGCAAUACUGAGUGGCAAACGGGUGAGUAUAAUGUGGGAAUCUGCCUUUUGGUUUGGAAUAACACGGGGAAACUUGUGCUAAUACCGAAUAAGCCCUUACGGGGAAAGUUUUAACGCCGAAAGAUGAGCCCGCACUUGAUUAGCUAGUUGGUAAGGUAAAAGCUUACCAAGGCAACGAUCAAUAGCUGUUCUUAGAGGAAGACCAGCCACAUUGGGACUGAGACACGGCCCAGACUCCUACGGGAGGCAGCAGUGGGGAAUCUUGCACAAUGGGGGAAACCCUGAUGCAGCGAUGCCGCGUGAGUGAAGAAGGCCCUUGGGUUGUAAAACUCUUUCGUCGGGGAAGAAAAUGACUGUACCCGAAUAAGAAGGUCCGGCUAACUUCGUGCCAGCAGCCGCGGUAAUACGAAGGGACCUAGCGUAGUUCGGAAUUACUGGGCUUAAAGAGCUCGUAGGUGGUUAAAAUAGUUGAUGGUGAAAUCCCAAGGCUUAACCUUGGAACUGCCAUCAAAACUUUUUAGCUAGAGUGUGAUAGAGGUAAGUGGAAUUUCUAGUGUAGAGGUGAAUUUCGUAGAUUUUAGAAAGAACACCAAAUGCGAAGGCAACUUACUGGGUCACUACUGACAC